CGUGUCGGCGGGCCAGCGCGGGUGCGCCACGGCUGCCCAGCACGGCCGCGGCCGCGAAGGGAGCCGACGUCAG
rnacentral:tRNA from 1 species